rnacentral:rRNA from 1 species
UACGUAGGGGGCUAGCGUUGUCCGGAUUCAUUGGGCGUAAAGAGCUCGUAGGCGGCUGUUCAAGUCGAACGUGAAAACUCGGAGCUCAACUCCGAGCCUGCGUUCGAUACUGGACGGCUAGAGUCUGGUAGGGGGAUCUGGAAUUCCUGGUGUAGCGGUGGAAUGCGCAGAUAUCAGGAGGAACACCGGUGGCGAAGGCGGGAUCCUGGGCCAUAACUGACGCUGAGAAGCGAAAGCAUGGGGAGCGAACAGG